GCAGGGGUCCAUUGUGAUAAUGUUGGAGGACACCGGCACUGCAGAGUGCCAGAAAAGACAGAAACCGAAUAAGCAAUGGGGCAGCGAGAAGAUUUAAUCAGAUGGAAGCCAUGAUCCUGUGGCAGAAAAUGGCGGAGCACCUGGGCCCACCUACCUACCAUCUCCUAAAGCCUACUCUUGUCCCUAUACCUAUGAAGGAGCUCUCUCGUUCCCUUUCUUUCUCUAUAUACUCACAC